AGUUAUCUGUUGGAUCAAUAUUGUUUAGAUUUCUUCUAAACAGAAGAGUUGUCUGUCGCAAAAGAUGAAUGAUAUGAUAGAUUAUUCACCUGUUGCAUCAGAUUUUCAUAGUUGCAUCAGAUUUUUAUCUGUUGCAUCAGAUUUUAAAAUGAAGAGUAAACCAUUGGAAAGAAUAAAAACAGAUCACUAGUCAGUUAUCUGUUGGAUCAAUAUUGUUUAGAUUUCUUCUAAACAGAAGAGUUGUCUGUCGCAAAAGAUGAAUGAUAUGAUAGAUUAUUCACCUGUUGCAUCAGAUUUUCAUAGUUGCAUCAGAUUUUUAAUUUGUUGCAUCAGAUUUCAUCUGUUGCAUCAUAGGUUUCAUUUAUUACAUUAGAUGUUUCAACUGUUUCAAUACCAUUUCUACCAAGACAAAUAACAAAU
rnacentral:lncRNA from 1 species